rnacentral:rRNA from 1 species
GGGGAAUAUUGCGCAAUGGAGGGAACUCUGACGCAGCAACGCCGCGUGAAGGAUGAAGGUUUUCGGAUUGUAAACUUCUUUGAUCGGGGACGAAAAUGACGGUACCCGAGGAACAAGCCACGGCUAACUACGUGCCAGCAGCCGCGGUAAUACGUAGGUGGCAAGCGUUGUCCGGAAUUACUGGGUGUAAAGGGCGCGUAGGCGGGAGAGCAAGUCAGAUGUGAAAUCCCAGGGCUUAACUCUGGAGCUGCAUCUGAAACUGUUUUUCUUGAGUACUGGAGAGGAAAGUGGAAUUCCUAGUGUAGCGGUGAAAUGCGUAGAGAUUAGGAGGAACACCAGUGGCGAAGGCGGCUUUCUGGACAGUAACUGACGCUGAGGCGCGAAAGCGUGGGGAGCAAAC